GGAACCGGAAGUCGUGAGGGACGCGCCGGUCCCCAGCAUGGCGGCCGCCUGGCCCUCCGGGCCGGCAGUUCUGGAGACCGCGGCCGUCCAGCUCCUGGGUGUCCUGUGGUUCGUGUCAGUCACCACGGGACCCUGGGGAGCGGCCGCCGCCGGGGGCGAGGAGACGCUGAAGUGCGAGGACCUCAGAGUGGGACAAUAUAUUUGUAAAGAUCCAAAAAUAAAUGAUGCUACACAAGAACCAGUUAACUGUACAAACUACACAGCUCAUGUUCCAUGUUUUCCAGCACCCAACAUAACUUGUAAAGAUUUUAGUGGCAAUGAAACACAUUUUACUGGACAUGAAGUUGGUUUUCUCAAGCCCAUAUCUUGCCGAAAUGUAAAUGGCUAUUCAUAUAAAGUGGCUGUUGCACUGUCUCUUUUUCUUGGAUGGUUGGGAGCAGAUCGAUUUUACCUUGGAUACCCUGCCUUGGGUUUGUUAAAGUUUUGCACUGUAGGAUUUUGUGGAAUUGGGAGCCUAAUUGACUUCAUUCUUAUUUCAAUGCAGGGCCUUAAAGCUCUAAGUUUUAUAUGGUCACUUGAGAGAUUGUUGGACCUUCGGAUGGAAGCAGUUACAUUAUAGAUUAUUAUGGAACCAGACUUACAAGACUGAGUAUUACUAAUGAGACAUUUAGAAAAACACAGCUGUAUCCAUAAAUGUUUUUAAAAAGAAACAGUUUCGUGCCUGAUUAAUUUUAAUAGUGAACUUCCAGUAUGUGGAUUUCCAGAUUUUCUUUUUCCUUCUUCACAUAACACUUUACAGACUCUUUGUAACUUUUUGUUGUUGAUGAUACUUUUGUUUUGUUGUUUUAGUUGAAAGCAUUUUAUCCUGAGAUUUAUUUAAUAGGACUUUCUUUGAGAGCUGUAUGUAUAAUAAUAGUCUUUCCUAGGCUACUGUCUCUAUGAGAUAGAUAGCUUAUUACCCGAUAUCCUGUAAUGUCUUUUCCAAAGACAAGUUGCCACUUGUCAUUUUUGCUUCUGAAAAAUAAAAGUAUGACUUACUCACAUUUUUUAGUGCUUUAUUAAGAAACCUUAAAUGUUGAAAGUAGCUGUCUUCUGCAUUUUGAUCCUUCAAAGUAGUUAAUCCGUGGUGUGAACAAAUACCAUUUAUAUUGCCUGGGGUGCAGUCUAGUGUAUGACAACCCGCCUGGUUUUCUGUAGCUUUUCAGAUCUGUCUUUGCCUUGGUAUCCAAGGAGCUGAAGAUCAUCAGGGAGUCUGAAACCUUGAGGCAACAUGGGAACUUCUGGCAUUGGUUCAGGCCUCUGAAGUGUGAACUUUCUCCUUUUUGCUUGUGGGAGUGCUGCACUAGCUUUUGAAAGACCAGAUGCUGACUCAUCUAGCUCAGUGCAGUUACAUUUGAAGUUGGAUGGACAAGGUGGGAACACUGAACAGAAGAUUAAUGUUUCCCAUCUGUUAGCACUGCCAGGCAGCUGCUGGACAAGCGCCUGAAGUGAUGCACAGCGACUGAAGGAAGCAGCACCUGCAUGUUAGCACUGGUUUUUCUUACUGUGUUUAAGAAGCUGGAAAUACAUGAAAUGUUAUGUCCCCAUAAUCCUGUUACGUGCUUUCUUUAGAAACAGGCAGAGCAAUUUCAGAAUUAUUGAAGCCGGACUUCUCAAAAGUGAAACCAACAUUUUUUAUCACCCCUUUUACUCAAAAGUAUAUUGUAUAGUCCAGUUAGCUUCAUAACAUGUUAUCAUUCAGUAACAGAUUCUCCAAUUGGUAGGAUAUUCAGUAUUGAUACAUAAAGCAAAUUUGGGUUACUCCUAAUAUAUAUCAGGAAUGGUCUCUUAUUCAUUAAUUAAUGAAAAUACUGGGUGUCUACCAUUUGGGAGGCACUGUCCUAGAUGCUACGAUGCAGCAAGGAGCAAAACACAAGCAUCUCUGCCCUUAAAGAGCUUAUAUUUCAUUGGGAUCCGCUUCUUCAUAGUGAUCAUAUUUUGGCUACAGUUAAACUAGCUGGUAGAGCCUGUUUGCUAGUAUUUCCUAGAUUCUUUUGGUUGCAAACAGUGCUUUGAAGUUCCUUCAGGAUCACCUAAGCCCAGAUUUGAAAAGUCCAUUAACUUUUCAUAGCCAUGUAAGUUCAAUUAUAUAAGAAAUACUUGCAGUCAAGUCUUGAAAAGUAGUAUCGAUUCUUGUAUAAUUGUUACAGUUAUUAACGUGGCCAGGUGAGAAGUCUCAUUUUAAAGCAGGUUUCUCAAAAUAUUUAGUGAAGUAAGCCGUAGUAUUCUGGGUCAUUGAUACAAUCUCGAAAUACAGUUUUUUCACAAUACACUCUUAAAAGUUUAAACUUUAUUUUCACUGUAAUAUCCUAAAUUUACAUGACAAGAGCACUUCAGCCUGCAACCAAGGUACACGCCCUUGACCAGAAUCAAACCCGGGACCCUUAAAUCCAUGGGCUGAUGCUCCAACCAUUGAGAAAACUGGCUAGAGCUAUAUAUAAUUCUUUUUUUUUUUUAAUAUAUUUUUUAUUGAUUAAGAUAUUAUAUAUAAUUCUUUAACAUGUUUUUUUUUUCUUUUCAGUUUUUUUAUGUGAAUGAAUUUAAUGCAUGUGAAUACAGUUUGUUUGUUUUUACUUUCAUGGAACAUUAUUGUUUUUGGCUAUUAGUGUGUGAGAGUAUAAAUUAUAUGUGAAGGCCUCUGUAUGAGAUGUUUUAUAUAAUAACCCUGCUUUUAAAACAGUGGCCAAAUAUGAGAUGGAUUAGCUCAGUCUUUACUCCUAAACCCUCUAGGGUGGGAUGGAAUGGAUUAUUUCAAUUCUAUAGGAACAGUAUUUCUAUAGACCCAUUUAUAAAUGCUAAUACAAUUUCCAGAAGUCCCUCUUUACCCAGGAAGAGUUCCUACUACACUGUAUUAAACGGAAGGACCACUUUCAGACUUCAGAAUCUGCUCUGUGCAUGCCAACUUUUGUUCCUCGGGCCACUGGGACUUUACAGAAUGUUUGUUUGGGGUAUGCUUUUGUUUUGUACAAAAAAAUUCUGUGUCUUUUUUUCUUAUUUCAACCUAGAUGCUUAAGGCUAAGUAUUAUAAGACAGAUAGGCAGUUAGGAAGCUAAUGUAGAUCUAAUAGCAAGAAACUGGUAAGAAGGAAAAUUAGUUCUUAAAAAGCACAAGUCUAAGAUGUUCUCUUCCUCAAACACCUUCAAUGUAGAUACUCCCCAGGGUUCUGGCACCUUCCCUCUUCCUUUCUCUCAUUAAAUCAGCAUCCAUUUUGCAUUUUUUCUAUGUACAAAAUUCAAGCUUACUGCAGAAAUUUUGGGAAAACACCAAAAUGUACAAAGGAAAACUCAUUUCACAGCUCAAUGGUAACAUUAAUAUUUUUAUGUGUGUCUUAGUACCUUUUUCAUGCAUGUAUGUUCAUUUUUCACAGAAAUUACACAUUAUACAUACUGUUUCGUAGCCUGUGUCUUCACAUUGUAAAGAUUUUUCUAUUUCAAUAAAGAUUUUUUACAAAAUCA